GACGAACGCUGGCGGCGUGCUUAACACAUGCAAGUCGAACGGAAAGGCCCUGCUUUUGUGGGGUGCUCGAGUGGCGAACGGGUGAGUAACACGUGAGUAACCUGCCCUUGACUUUGGGAUAACUUCAGGAAACUGGGGCUAAUACCGGAUAGGAGCUCCUGCUGCAUGGUGGGGGUUGGAAAGUUUCGGCGGUUGGGGAUGGACUCGCGGCUUAUCAGCUUGUUGGUGGGGUAGUGGCUUACCAAGGCUUUGACGGGUAGCCGGCCUGAGAGGGUGACCGGCAACAUUGGGACGGAGAUACGGCCCAGACCCCUACGGGGGGCAGCAGUGGGGAAUAUUGAACAAGGGGCGGAAGCCUGAUGCAGCAACGCCGCGUGCGGGAUGACGGCCUUCGGGUUGUAAACCGCUUUCGCCUGUGACGAAGCGUGAGUGACGGUAAUGGGUAAAGAAGCACCGGCUAACUACGU
rnacentral:rRNA from 1 species